UGCUGCUCCAGACUCCAGUCCUUGUAGUAUUCACGAAACGGUUCAAUCCACAUUUGCGGUGAAUGAUUUAGCUGUCUUACAAGAGUGUAGCGCUGAUCUUGGGAGGAAAAUCAACGCUAAAUAUCGGAAAGUUCCAUUCAGUGAGCAGUUGCUAAGCGGCGUAAGCGCCACGAAUAGCACGAACUACAAUUUGACUGUUUGAGUAGAAGUAUUGGCGCCGAUAUCUUUAUUCUGAAGUGCAAUAAGGUAAAUUUAAUGUGAUAUGUAAAUUUUAUUUCGUUUUAGACAGCAUAACAAUAUUUAUAAGCGAACAAGAUGCGCGCCAUGCAUAUGUAAAAUUGUAACUUGAAUACGCGUAUCUUGAUUUAGAUUUAGCUACGAAUUUUGAUUUACACAACAAAUUUGCAUAUUUGUAAUUCUGCGGUUG